GGAGGAAAGCAGGGGAUCGCAAGACCUUGCGCUCAUUGAGCGGCCGAUGCCUGAUUAGCUAGUUGGUGAGGUAAAGGCUUACCAAGGCGACGAUCAGUAGCUGGUCUGAGAGGACGACCAGCCACACUGGGACUGAGGCACGGCCCAGACUCCUACGGGAGGCAGCAGUGGGGAAUUUUGGACAAUGGGGGAAACCCUGAUCCAGCCAUGCCGCGUGAGUGAAGAAGGCCUUCGGGUUGUAAAGCUCUUUCAGCCGGAACGAAACGGUCACGGCUAAUACCUGUGACUACUGACGGUGCCGGAAGAAGAAGCACCGGCUAACUACGUGCCAGCAGCCGCGGUAAUACGUAGGGUGCGAGCGUUAAUCGGAAUUACUGGGCGUAAAGCGUGCGCAGGCGGUUUUGUAAGUCAGAAAGGGAAUCCCCGGGCUUACCCUGGGAACUGCGUUUGUUAUUAUGAGGGCUAGAAGGGC
rnacentral:rRNA from 1 species